rnacentral:tRNA from 1 species
AGGAGCGUAGCUCAGCUGGUUAGAGCAGCGGUCUCCAAAACCGCAGGUCGGGGGUUCGAGUCCCUCCGCUCCUGCCA